AUUGAACGCUGGCGGCAUGCCUUACACAUGCAAGUCGAACGGCAGCACGGGGCAACCUGGUGGCGAGUGGCGAACGGGUGAGUAAUGCAUCGGAACGUACCUUUCAGUGGGGGAUAACGUAGCGAAAGUUACGCUAAUACCGCAUAUUCUGUGAGCAGGAAAGCAGGGGAUCGCAAGACCUUGCGCUGAUUGAGCGGCCGAUGUCAGAUUAGCGAGUUGGUGAGGGAAAGGCUCACCAAGGCGACGAUCUGUAGCGGGUCUGAGAGGAUGAUCCGCCACACUGGACGUGAGACACGGGCCAGACUCCUACGGGAGGCAGCAGUGGGGAAUUUUGGACAAUGGGGGCAACCCGGAUCCAGCCAUGCCGCGUGAGUGAAGAAGGCCUUCUGGUUGUAAAGCUCUUUCGGCCGGGAAGAAAUCGCACGGGCUAAUACCCUGUGUGGAUGACGGUACCGGAAUAAGAAGCACCGGCUAACUACGUGCCAGCCGCCGCGGUAAUAC
rnacentral:rRNA from 1 species